AGAAUCAACGCUGGCGGCGUGCCUAACACAUGCAAGUCGAACGAGAAAGUGGAGCAAUCCACGAGUAAAGUGGCGCACGGGUGAGUAACACGUGACUAACCUACCCUUGAGUGGGGGAUAACCUAGGGAAACCUGGGCUAAUACCGCAUAAUACCUACGGGUCAAAGGAGCAAUUCGCUUAAGCGAGGGGGUCGCGGCCGAUUAGUUAGUUGGCGGGGUAAUGGCCCACCAAGACGAUGAUCGGUAU
rnacentral:rRNA from 1 species